CUACAAUCAAAUUAUAAACCAUAGAAUAUUCUUCGAAAAUUUUGGAAUGUACCAAAGCGAAUAUUAUCAUUUACAAAAUUAAGAUUGAAUUUUUGAACGAAGAAAAUGAAGAAAAACAAAAAGAACGAGAGAAUAGGAUGGACUGUGUUCCAGUAAUCUCAUAGGACGUUUUUAGAACUGGCAACCAGCCAGUCUUUAUACGUUAUGCUAAAAUUAAACGAUACCAGGUGGAGAUCGAGACUACACUCAAUGGUAGGCUCCGAAACCUCUGGAACCUUUUUGCUUUGAUCGUUGUUGACUGCUUCACUGACAUAGCCUCCUUCAUUAAUAUCCGAUUCCUCAGUGGUGUUACCAGGUCGUUGCUGUGUAGCACUUCCAGUUACCUAAAAAUGGAUUAUUCAAGAGAAAAUAGCUCAGAAGAUAUACUAAACGUACUGGAUUCAUUGGCUGAGA